GAUUGAACGCUGGCGGUAUGCUUAACACAUGCAAGUCGAACGGAAACGAUACUAGCUUGCUAGUAGGCGUCGAGUGGCGGACGGGUGAGUAACGCGUAGGAAUCUGCCUGAUAGUGGGGGAUAGCCCGAAGAAAUUCGGAUUAAUACCGCAUAAUCUAUUCGUAGUAAAGUGGGGGACUUUCGAGCCUCACGCUAUCAGAUGAGCCUGCGUAAGAUUAGCUUGUUGGUAGGGUAAAAGCCUACCAAGGCGACGAUCUUUAGCUGGUCUGAGAGGAUGAUCAGCCACAUCGGGACUGAGACACGGCCCGAACUCCUACGGGAGGCAGCAGUGGGGAAUAUUGGACAAUGGGGGCAACCCUGAUCCAGCAAUACCGCGUGUGUGAAGAAGGCCUGAGGGUUGUAAAGCACUUUCAAUUGUGAAGAAAAGUUAGCGGUUAAUAACCGUUAGCCUUGACGUUAACUUUAGAAGAAGCACCGGCUAACUCCGUGCCAGCAGCCGCGGUAAUACGGAGGGUGCAAGCGUUAAUCGGAAUUACUGGGCGUAAAGCGUGCGUAGGCGGUUUAUUAAGUCAGAUGUGAAAGCCCCGGGCUUAACCUGGGAACUGCAUUUGAAACUGGUCAACUAGAGUAUGGUAGAGGAAAGUGGAAUUUCUGGUGUAGCGGUGAAAUGCGUAGAUAUCAGAAGGAACAUCAAUGGCGAAGGCAGCUUUCUGGACCAAUACUGACGCUGAGGUACGAAAGCGUGGGUAGCAAACAGGAUUAGAUACCCUGGUAGUCCACGCCGUAAACGAUGAUAACUAGCCGUUGGGGGGAUUUACCCUUUAGUGGCGAAGCUAACGCGUUAAGUUAUCCGCCUGGGGAGUACGGCCGCAAGGUUAAAACUCAAAGGAAUUGACGGGGACCCGCACAAGCGGUGGAGCAUGUGGUUUAAUUCGAUGCAACGCGAAGAACCUUACCUGGUCUUGACAUCCUGCGAACUUUCUAGAAAUAGAUUGGUGCCUUCGGGAACGCAGUGACAGGUGCUGCAUGGCUGUCGUCAGCUCGUGUCGUGAGAUGUUGGGUUAAGUCCCGUAACGAGCGCAACCCCUAUCCUUAUUUGCCAGCACAUCAUGGUGGGAACUAUAAGGAGACUGCCGGUGAUAAACCGGAGGAAGGCGGGGACGACGUCAAGUCAUCAUGGCCCUUACGACCAGGGCUACGCACGUGCUACAAUGGGAAGGACAAAGAGCCGCGAAGCCGCGAGGUGUAGCUAAUCUCAUAAACCUUUUCGUAGUCCGGAUUGGAGUCUGCAACUCGACUCCAUGAAGUCGGAAUCGCUAGUAAUCGUAGAUCAGAAUGCUACGGUGAAUACGUUCCCGGGUCUUGUACUCACCGCCCGUCA
rnacentral:rRNA from 1 species